rnacentral:tRNA from 1 species
GCCGCCAAACCAGUAUGGUGGAUAUGACCCUCGGCUUGUAACCGAGUGGGCUCGGGUUCGAAUCCUGAGAAGGCA